GAUGAUUUGACCAGCUUGCGGGUGCGCGUCGGGCCGGACCUUCACCAGAAGUUUGAGGCGAUGAUCUCGGCGCGGGGCAUCACGGUGCAGCGGGCCCUUGAAACGCUGCUGGCCUGGGUGGUCGACGAAGACCCACUGACUCAGGCCAUGAUCUUCCAGCAGGUGCCGGCGUCGGACCGGGCGGCUCUCUCCCGGAUCGUACUGCGGCGUCUGGCCGGCGUCGACGCCAAGGCCCCG
rnacentral:rRNA from 1 species